rnacentral:misc_RNA from 1 species
AAAGUCGUAACAAGGUUUCCGUAGGUGAACCUGCGGAAGGAUCAUUAUCAAUAUAGCGAACCGAGCGUUAGCGAGGCUUCGCGAUCAAAUUUGUAUUUAAAACCCAACUCUUUAAAUGUAUAAUGUAUUUUAAAUAAUAAAAAGAUCACUUUCAACAACGGAUCUCUUGGCUCUC